AUACGUAUGUCGCAAGCGUUAUCCGGAAUUAUUGGGCGUAAAGCGAGUCUAGGCGGCUUGUUAAGUCAGAUGUGAAAAUGCGGGGCUCAACUCCGUAUUGCGUUUGAAACUGGCAGGCUAGAGUACUGGAGAGGUGGGCGGAACUACAAGUGUAGAGGUGAAAUUCGUAGAUAUUUGUAGGAAUGCCGAUAGUGAAGACAGCUCACUGGACAGAUACUGACGCUAAAGCUCGAAAGCGUGGGGAGCGAACAGGAGUAGAUACCCCAGUAGUCC
rnacentral:rRNA from 1 species